AGUGAACGCUGGCGGUAGGCCUAACACAUGCAAGUCGAACGGCAGCACAGUAAGAGCUUGCUCUUACGGGUGGCGAGUGGCGGACGGGUGAGGAAUACAUCGGAAUCUACUUUUUCGUGGGGGAUAACGUAGGGAAACUUACGCUAAUACCGCAUACGACCUACGGGUGAAAGCAGGGGAUCUUCGGACCUUGCGCGAUUGAAUGAGCCGAUGUCGGAUUAGCUAGUUGGCGGGGUAAAGGCCCACCAAGGCGACGAUCCGUAGCUGGUCUGAGAAGAUGAUCAGCCACACUGGAACUGAGACACGGUCCAGACUCCUACGGGAGGCAGCAGUGGGGAAUAUUGGACAAUGGGCGCAAGCCUGAUCCAGCCAUACCGCGUGGGUGGAGAAGGCCUUCGGGUUGUAAAGCCCUUUUGUUGGGAAAGAAAAGCAGCAGGUUAAUACCCCGCUGUUCUGACGGUACCCAAAGAAUAAGCACCGGCUAACUUCGUG
rnacentral:rRNA from 1 species